AAAGCCACCCUACAGGGGGGAUGAGAACACCCGACCGGGGUUCGACAACUGGCGCAGCCAGUUGGACAGACGACGAGCUUGCGAGGAGACUGCCCGAAGGGCGAGCGCAGCGAGUCAAUUCCCCCCUCACCGCCA
rnacentral:sRNA from 1 species